UGGUUUAUGAGUGUGGGUUUGGAACAUGAAUUUGCAAAGGGGACAGCCUGGGUAUUCUGUUCUCUGUUUUGCUGUGUGACCUUGGCUGGGUGUCUUUACUUCUCUGAGCUCCCAAUUCUUCAUCUGUGAAGUGGGUUAAUGAUCCCAUUUCUCAGGUCCAUUUGGAGGACUGAAUAUGAGAGUGUUAGGAAAACUACAGUGGACCAAAUAGGUGCUGAAUAAAUGAGAUGUUGUGUCAUGAUUUUUCCCCUGGUACUUUCUCUAAGGAGAUUGGUGAUGAGCCUGUCCUCCACUGUUCUGAAUACUCACUCAAGUUGGUAUGGUACUUUGCAGUUUGUUGCACAGGAAUUGCAUCAUCUUUGAAGAUGCCACGAAUUUUCUGCAACCUGCAAAGCAGGUUCUCUUCUCACACCUUUCAUCCAUCUCCGUCUGACCAAUUUCUCCCUGUCCUUUGGCUUGGCUCACAUAUCACUUCCUCUAGGACAGUGGUCAGCAAACUUAUUCUGUACAGAGCCAGACAGUAAAUAUUUUAGACUUCGUGGGGGCACCUGGUCUCUGUUGCCACGACUCAACUCUGUUGUCAAAGUGCAAAGAGGCACAAACAAUACACCAAUGAAUGAGCAUGGCUAUGUUUCAAUGAAGUGUGAUUUAUGGACACUGAAAUUUGAAUAUCGUAUACUUUUCAAGUGGCAUGAAACAUGAUUUUGAUUGUGUAAAACCAUUUAAAAGUGUAAAAACCAUUCUUAGCUUGUGAGCUGUAUGAAAGAGGCAGUGGGCCAGAUUUAGCCUGGGGGCAGUAGUUUGCUAAACCUUGCUCUGGGAGGUAAUUGCUGGUCACCCCCUGUCCUGUGGGCAGGCUACAUUAAGGGCCUUUCAUCAGGGUUUCCACAUCACAGCACUGACAACAGAACAUCCUAAUUACCUGUUAACUCCUCUGUGGACCACCAGCUCCUUGAGGGAAACACUGGGUUUUAUUCAUCACAAAACCCUCAGCACCAACACAUAGUAGGUAGUCGACAACUACAUAUUAAACAAGCCCGUGUGUGGAUGAAUGAACCUUUUAAGCAGCUCCACGUUGCAGAUAUAAGCUCCAUUUUACAGAUGUGGAAACGGAGGCUCAGAAAAGGAAAGGGAUUUUCUCAACAUCACGCAGCUGCAAACAUGACUGAGCUGGGGCUCAAACUCCCGAAAGAAGAAUGUUAAUUGAGCAAUUGCUAUGUGCCAGACACAGUGGUGCUUGGGGCUUCAUAUGCCUCAGUCCCCAUUUAUUGGACACCGCUGUGUGUCAGGACCUACCUGGGUCAUACCCCUUUAGGUUCAGAACAUUGGAUUUCUCACUGUGAGAGCACCAGGCUUGUCUUGCCCGUUGUUGAGUGCAAAGAACAAUUCUGGAAUGAUGAAUUCCUACCAUACCUGAGCUAGGCACUUUUCAAAUUUAAGUCCUUCAUCCUUGCUCACCACAUCCCAGAAGUGCAAUCUGCAAAUCAGCUUAAAAGGAAAUUAAUUAAUUUUAAAAAAAAGAAAGAAAAAAGCAAAAAACAGUGACAGCCAUCGCAGCAGCAGCAACAGCAGCAUCUGCUGAGUCAGAUCGGUUAUCCAUCCACAAUAAUCGAUGGCUCGUCAUCCAGCCAUUUCCCUCCUCCAAAUACACAAAUUAAUAAAGAAAGGGUCUGGGCUUGCAGACAACAGAAAGGGCACCCAAAGCAAAAUUGCCUCCGGCUGGGAAAAAGUCACCUCCCCAGAACGAUGCCCACGUCAGCUCUGCUGCCGAAGUGGGAGAUACUGGAGGUAAGUCCCAGUCUCAGCCAAGAGGGCUGCAGCCCACAAGGGCCCUGCAUGAGAUUAAGGUUGGUAAGAAGGAACGCCAGCUGUCUAAGGCAGGCCCUAGCUCUAAGUGGCUCCUGAGGUGUAUUUGGUUCCCAGCCCAAAUCGAGUGCCCCAGCGGCCCUGUUUUAUUAAGCAGGCCCAAGUGGCAGGAGGCUUUAGUCGGAGAAUGAGGCGCUUUACCACUCAUGCUGGCUUCUGGGCCGAGCCCCUUGGCCGCACUUCACAGGUCCCCAGCGCAGCCCCCCUUGGCGUAACCAUUGCGAAUCCACUUGUUGACGGUGGCCUGGUUGUAGGAUUUAAUGGUGGAAUAAUAUUUACACAGCAAACUCCUCCAGAGGUGUCCUAAACACCGUAAAUGGGAUUUUCGGAGCUUAGUGAGAGUUAGUGGACUCAAGACAGGAUAAUGUGGCAACUGGUGGCCCUAAUCUGAUCUGGCCCCUUCUGCACGGUGAAGACUUAGUGGGCGGAACUGUUUUCAGAGUUGGCAAAAGUUGCUUCUCACCGCUCCCUCCUCUCCCUUUCUUUCCCCUGUGAACUUUGAAAUAUUUUUAGCACUAUGUGGCCUGCAAUGGCUUCAUCUCAGCUGCUGUAGAUGCCAAUAAACCCCACACCCAUGCCUAUGGGACCAGCGAUGGACCUUUGAAAGGGGCAGCGAUGCAGGGAGAGUGAAGAGACUUGCUAGACAGAAAAGGCG
rnacentral:lncRNA from 1 species